AAAAACUUUUUUUAUCAGUCAGAGGAUAAUGCAAGUGUUUAACAGAUGCUUCACUAUUAAAAUAUUUUCCCCCCAAGUCUCAAAUAUUGAAGAAUCUCUAACCAGGGACACCAGUCCCUACGAAGACCUUGGGCGAUUUUGAAGUGCGGGCACCUCGAUUCCCCGAAUCUGUAGUGUGGCUGGUAUCGGUGUUCCCCUGGUUUAACUAGCCUGUUUGAUGGGGAAAUUGAGGCAGAGAAGCCAAGACAUGUGCUAAAGGUCAUGCAGGCUAUGAAUGGAGCUGGAAUGUGAACGCAGGCCAUAUGACCCCAGAGCCCAUGUUCUUGAACCCUUAGAAAGACAGCAGCAACACACCUGGUGCAGCAGCUGCUUAGUUGGAGUGGCUGACAAGGUUGGCAGAGGAUCCCGUUCCUCCCGUGGAGUGGCUGCCAUGAUACUGCCUGCACUGAAGCUGCUCCUAUUUCUGAAAUAUGUAUUGUUAUUUUUUUCCCUGCAUGUUGAACAUUAUACUCUUCUGUUCUUUCGCAUUCUCUUCUUCCCUUCCGGAUGACUUCUAGGGUUUUUGUGAUUCUGUAAUUCUAAAGGAGAAAGGAUAAUAAGAAUUGUGAGGCCGGGCGCGGUGGCUCAUGCCUGUAAUCACAGCACUUUGGGAGGCCAAGGUGGGCGGAUCACUAGGAGAGAAUGAUUUCCAGGAAGAGCGGAACACAUAUGGAAGGCCUUAGCUUAUCUUUAGCGCCUCAUACACCCGUUCUGGACUUCAGAAAGGCCAGUGAGUGGGAUUAGGCCUCAGAGAUAGGAUGUCAGUCCCAGUGAGGGAUGGCCUAGAGCAUUCUUUAAUUCUUUCCUUUGGGUCACACAUAAGAAACAAUUUUCCAGCACUGAUGAGUGUUAUUAACAAUGAGAUGGGAUAGAAUUUAGUUUUCCCUAUGGCUGUGCUUCAAAAAUAGAAAAGCUGUCUUUUCUCUGGAAUGAUUGAAUGAAGCUCUGGGGAGGAAAAGGUGGAUUGGCAGAUCUCUUAAAGGAAGCUUCUCCUUCUAGGCACUAUUCUAAGGCUUAAUAUUUUAACUCCCUAUAUUAACCUAGUUCAACUAAACAGUGAUCUGAGUAAUUUUAUUUUUAUUAAAGCUCAGAUCAAAAUGCCAUUAACAUUGAUUGAGAAAAUCAAAGGAAUCUUUGAUGUGAGUGGUUAAAUUGCUGAAUUAUUUCAGUCCCAUACCCUCACAGCAUGAGUACCUGAUCUGAUAGACUUCUUUGGAAUUCCUUUUUUGUUUGAGACAGAGUCUUGCUCUGUCGCCCAGGCUGGAGUGCAGCGGUGUGAUCUCAACCAUUGCAACCUCCACCUCCCAGGUUCAAGUGAUUCUCAUGCCUCAGCCUCCUGAGUAGCUGGGAUUACAGAUGUGCACCACCAUGCCCGGCUAAUUAUUUUGUAUCUUUAGUAGAGAUGAAGUUUUGCCAUGUGGGCCAGGCUGUUCUCAAACUACUGGCCUCAAGUGAUCUGCCCGCCUCGGCCUCCCAGACUGCUGGGAUUACAGGCGUGAGGCACCGUGCCUGGCUGGGAUUCCAUAAUAAAUCCCUCUGUGUCUAUUUCUUUUUUCAAAUAUAAUUUUCUUCAUUUCCAAACAUCAUCUUUAAGACUCCAAGGAUUUUUCCAGGCACAGUGGCUCAUACCUGUAAUCCCAUUGCUUGGAGAGGCCAAGGUGGAAGUUCAUUUGAGGCCAGGAGUUCGAGACCAGGUGGGCAACAUAGUGAAACCUUGUCUCUACAACAUAAAAAAAAAAAUAAAACCCUAAGGAAAUAAUGGUGCCUCACUACCUUUCAAAGCUUUUGACCUUCAAGUCAGAAAAUAAAUUAUUUUUAGGAAAGGCAUCUCAACCUUAUUUACAAAUGAACUAUUUGUCAAGAGCAACCUCUAUAAGGAUAAUAGGACUUCCUGGUUUGAAAUGCAGCAUGAACAAUUCUCAGAGGCUCCUGGAAGACUAAGAAUGAGGUUUCUUGAUCCGCCUUCCCUCGGCAUCUUCUCACUCUCUUCCCUCCUUCUCAGAAGCUGUGUGCAGCAAUGGGCUAUGCAACUGGUUUCACUGGUGCCUGGUAGAACUUUUAAUUCCUCCCUGUCAGCACAUCCCUAGUCCACUUUCAUAGUUUGGAUAAGGACUGGAUAAGCAGCUGAACUUCUGGGGACUUUUCCAAAUGAAAUUCAACCUUUAGACCUUUGGAGGUUUACCCAGUCUUCCUCACUACCCGAAGAUGAGUUUGGAACAAAUUUUCUCUUAAUGGAUUCUAUUUGUGGGUAGGAGAGGUAAUGACUGCCUUGCUCAGAGUCAUGAGCAUAACUUCAAAUAAGGAAAAAGAGCCUCGCAGGAAUGUGAGAAUAGAUGCGAUCCUGAGGAAGGUGUGUCUGAGGAGGUGCUGGGAGGUUCUGAUCGGCUGUUGAAGGCAGAUACUGUAUCUCACGUGACAGAAGUCACCUCCUGACAUCAGAGUUGUGUUUGAGUGGUAAUUUAAAAAAUAAUAUAGCUGACAAGGAAAUGUGGAAGGCAUUACGUUGCAAUACAGUGAAAUGAACAUACAACAUUCAAGAUCAAUUACCGGGUACUGAUUAGCUGGGAGAAAGGCAAUAAAACUUUAAAAAUAGAAUUGGUAGAAAUAGCACCCUGUCAAGGUGGGACUGACUAUGCCUCCUGCUGGUUUGUUGCGAGGAAUUCUUUUUUUGGGAAAAUCCUGUUGAAUUGUGUGGCUUGUGAAUCUGGCUCUAGAACUGUUAAUGUUAUAAGAAUUGAAAGAGGACUAUUUAAAAAUACCAAGACAUCUUUUAAAAUUCCUAUUUUUAGAACAGCUACUUGUCAUUAAAAUAAAUCAUUCCAUUUCUAUUUGUCCAGGUUACUGCUUUCACAGCAGGGCCAGGGCUAUGGUGAAGUGUGGGAGGUGCCCAGUCCCCUUCACUGCAGUCAUGGCUCUGUUUCAUGCCACAUGUGUUAUUUUAUAAGUGGUUAAGCCCCACAUAGGCAUGCAAACAUGGUACAUCUCUAUGUAUUGGUUUUGGUAAUGUUGUAAAUAAUUGGGAGAAUACAUUAAAAUUUGGUAAUAGUGCUCCUUUGGACUCAGUCUCUUUUUUUUUUUUUAAGACAGAGUUUCGCUCUUGUUGCCCAGGCUGGAGUGCAAUGGCAUGAUCUUGGCUCAUUGCAACCUCUGCCUCCUGGGUUCAAGCAAGUCUCCUGCCUCAGCCUUCCUGAGUAGCUAGGAUUACAGGCAUGUGCCACUAUGCCCGGCUAAUUUUGUAUUUUUAGUAGAAAAGGGGUUUCUCCAUGUUGGUCAGGCUGGUCUUGAAUUCCCGACCUCAGGUGAUUCCAGUUCUAAUUCCCCAACAGAGUUGUCUUGGUUGCAGUGAGAUAUAUAUAUAUAUAUAUAUAUAUAUAUAUAUAUAUAUAUAUAUAUAUAUAUAUUUUGAGAUGGGGUCUCGCUCUGUCGCCCAGUCUGGAGAGCAGUGGCGCGAUCUUGGCUUGCAGUGAGACAUUUUUAUCCAUCCUGAUCACAGCACUUGCCUCCGGGCUCAUGAAGCCCAGCAUGUUACUGCUGUUCUGAACGUCUCUGCUUUUUGAGAGACAUGUUUAAUGAAUUGGGAGUAUCUGUGCACAUUGCAUUCACUUAAAAAGGGAAAAAUACCUUUUAACAGUUAUAGCUACAGAAAUUCAAUUUAGUUUAUUUAGGAGGAAAUGAGAGACUUGAAUUGUAGGUGUGAAAUCUUACAAUCUUUCAGAAUGAUUUGGUUUGGGGGAUGGUUGGAACUGCAUGGAAUUCCUUCAGCCAAAAUAAUUUUUGUGAGCACAUUCCCAAGCUCACGAUCAUGUUUUGAUAAGAAAAAUCCCUUUCUCCACAAGUUCUCAGGUCCCACUCAUUGGCCCCUGCCCUCAUUUCUGGAACCUAUGUUAGGCAGUUAUGUGGCUCAGUUCUUGGUGAUAUGUUUUCAAUUUGAGUCAACUUGAUGAGAGAAAAAUUACUAAAAAGUGGGAAUGAGCUGUGAGGUGAACAGGGUUUUCCUAUCAAAGUGGAGGUAUUUUUAAAAGCAUUUAUUAUUUCAAACUCAAACAUUUAUAGAAAGCCAUGAGUGUGAAGUGUAUGAUUACCAGUUGUGGCUUGCUGCAUUGAAAAAUUCAAGUUCAUAGGAAAUAUUUACUGAGGCUCUGGUUUGCAAGCAGUUUGUUCAAGAGAACAAUUUGGUCCAGAAGGCAUGUCAGCCAAAAAAGAGUUUACUAAUAUAGUAGUAACAGGCAAUUAGGAUUCAUAAGCAUCGCCAUGGCUGAGACAUGAUUUAAGGUCUUAGAUGGAAAGAGUUCUGUUAUUAAGAUAACAGAAUUUAAAUGCUGUAUCUGUCUAGGUCUUAUGCAUGUCAGAAGUGAGAAAACUACUUCUUCAUUUUCCAUUUUUAUGAGCUCUGAUGUAACACAGUUUUUUUUUUUUUCUGUGUUGAAAAUGAUGAAUAUAGUUCUUGGCACAUUUGUUCCAUAGUAAAGAAGAAUUUAACUUGCAAGUGAAAAACCUCUGCCUUUGGCCAUGGAUUAAAAAGAUGUUAUAUGAUGAAGUUUACUUCCUAAGGAAAGGUUAGUUUUGUGUGGCACUUUCUGAAAAUUUGUUUGGGACAUAUACAAUUCUUUUGUAUAAAUUCUGGAGGUCUGAGGAAAAUUACUUAAUCACAUUAGAUGAGAACAUUUCUUUUUGUGUGAAUUGAGUUCUUAUCAAGGUUCUGAUGUUUUUUCUCAUGUAUUUGCCCUUGGGUUCAUCUCAAUACAAUGCAUUUGUGUACUAUUGAAUAAAAAGCAGGCUGCAACAGUAUUUAUGACAUAUGAUCCUAUAUACACGUAAAAUCUUGUGUGUGUGUUUGUGUGUGCACAUGCAUAUAAAAAAAACUACAUUGUUAAAGUUGUUAAUAGUUAACUCCCGGUGGUGGGUUUUAAGUGAUUAUUAUUUUCUUUGUAUAAGAAAAAUAGUGCACAGUUUUCUUUUGUUGUUACGAAAGGUGUCAUACAUUUGAAAGAGGACAUAUGCACAGUUUAAAUAAUAAUAACAUAGUGAAUACCCACUGCUUGGCUGAAAAAAAUAAUUUAUUACUCUGUUGCAGAAGGCAAGCCUUCCUUCUGCCCCUGCCUCUGUCAUGGAGGUAGCUACUUGCUUGAAUUUUGUGCUAAUCAUGUCUUUGCUUUCUUAUAUAGUUUAGCCAGCUGUGAAUGUCUCCAUAAAACAUACACAGUUUUAUUUUGAUUGUUUUUGAACUUUAAAUAAAUGAAAUCAUACUGGAUAUAUUCUUCU
rnacentral:lncRNA from 1 species